UUUCAUAGCUCUGAGGAUCCAGAAUCCUUAACUUCAUGUGGAAGCCCCCUUUUCUAAUGAUUUUAUUGAACAGUGUGCAAGAGAAGGCAGACAAACCUACCAAGGCCAAGCUAAAUUUUUAAUGCAGCGAAGACUUAUGAUCUCAGUGUGGUAUUUGCUGAGUACCUGCUAUUUGAUGAACACUGAACUAGGGACUAGGGGUCCGAAGAUGGUUGGUGGACACCAAGGACCCAGACAUACUAUCACCUCAGAAAAGCUAGAGCAACCUGUGACGGGCCAGAGAGAGUAGACUACAGUGCCUGGCAAGUAACCAGAGAAGGAAGAAGUACAAGGGCAUGUUUCAUGGAACGGAUGGUGACAGAGCCAGCCUGGAGCCAUUUCAAGUCCUGCCCAAGUGGACUGCCUGGGAGUGCUUUUGGACUUACGUGGCACAAUGGAUGUGGACCUCAUCUUUGAGGAAUCUAGGGUGGGGGAAGCAGCCAGGUGAAGGCAAGGCAUUGCCCACGUCAGAGGAGUCGUAGUUGGAGGGGCCAGCAAAGAAGCUUCCAAACAACUUUCAAAGAAUCUACAAGGAAAGAGCUACUGCUGUCCAACUGCCAGGUCCAGAGAGCAUGAAGCCAUUCACUCUAGUAGAAACUGCCUUUUCUCCUCCUCUUCUCCUUGGCAGCCCAUCCUCUUUGACUUUUAUGAGGUGUGGAGCAGCAGCUAGUGAGUGGGGGAGGGAAUGGAAGAGAAAGAGGGCAGAAGCCAAACAUAGCCACCUAGCCUGAGGUGACGGUGGUAUGGGAGGAGUCUAGCCUUGAAGGAAGGUUGAAAUGUGACUAGUAACUUCGGCAGACACUUCCAAUAACUGAAUUGAGAUUGUGUUUUGUGACUUAAUAUGGUUGUAGAACUACAGGAAUUAAAUGAAAAAUAUGGUUCCUGACAAUUUUUCAUCUUCCUCCUCUGAAUAAAUUUGAA